CGCAUCUGUGCAUGCAGCAUAUCAAUAAGCGGAGGAAAAGAAACUAACAAGGAUUCCCCUAGUAACGGCGAGUGAAGCGGGAAGAGCUCAAAUUUGAAAUCUUAAAGGGUUUCCCUUUACGAAUUGUAGUUUAAAGAAGUGUUUUCUGUUGAGGUUUUGGUAAAAGUUCUUUGGAAUAGGACAUCAUAGAGGGUGAGAAUCCCGUAUUUGACCUUUACUUUCAACUUUGUGAUACACUUUCAAAGAGUCGGAUUGUUUGGGAAUGCAGUCCAAAAUGGGUGGUAAAUCUCAUCUAAAGCUAAAUAUUGGCGAGAGACCGAUAGCGAACAAGUACCGUGAGGGAAAGAUGAAAAGAACUUUGAAAAGAGAGUUAAACAGUACGUGAAAUUGUCAAUAGGGAAGCGUUUGACACCAGUGUUGUUUUUCUGAAAAUCAAUUAAAGAACUGUUUAUGCUAAGUUGUUUAGACUUUAUCAGCUAACUGUUUAGUUUUGAGCUUUUCUUUAAUGCACUUUUCAGUUAACAAGUCAACAUCAAUUUCUUUUGCUGUAAAAAAGCUUGAGGAAGGUGGCUUGAGAUUCGUCUUAAGUGUUUAUAGCCUCUUGCCUAUGCAGUCGGAGAGAUUGAGGUCUGCAGCGUAGAUCCUUCGGGGCUAAAUGCAUUUGUGCUAAGUUAUAACAUUUUAUAGACAACUUGUUGACUAUGAUUUGUCUUGUAGCUUACUCGCUUAUGUUAUUUUACCUACGCUUAGGAUGUUGAGCGCAUGUCUCUCUCU
rnacentral:rRNA from 1 species